rnacentral:lncRNA from 1 species
CAAUCUCUGAAAUUUGGAAGUUCAAUUCACCAAUGCUACUUUCAGCAGUAGUAUUCUUUGCUUCAGUUGUUUCCUUCUGUUCACCAUGGCAUCUCUCAGAAUGCAGAUUCUGAUUACAUGCAGUAUCACAUGAAACUUGAACAUGUUCCAUAUCACUGACCUCAUCUCUUACCUCAACAGCAGAAAUGGAUUCCACAUUGGGCACAUCUAAGGCUUCCAAACUUCGGUUCUCAGUUUCAACUGCUGGAUUUUGGAGGUUCAACUCACCAAUGGUGCUUUCAGCAGUAAUAUUCUUUGCUUCAAUUACUUCAUGAUGUUCACCAUGGCAUGUUUCAGAAGAUGGCUCUGGAUUGCAUACAAUAUCACAUGUAGCUUGAAUGCAUUCCAGAUUACUGACUUCAUCCCGUGCCUCCAUAACAGAAGCCGAUUCCAUACUGGGCAUCUCUAUAUCUUCGGCAUUUUGGUUCUCAGUUACUUCAGUAUGUUCAUCAUUGCAUGUUUCAGAAGAUGGCUCUGGAUUGCAUACAAUAUCACAUGUAGCUUGAAUGCAUUCCAGAUUACUGACUUCAUCUCUUACCUCCAUAACAGAAGUCGAUUCCAUACUAGGCUUUUCUAUAGCUUCAGCAUUUUGGCUCUCAGUUUCAACCACUAUAUUUUGGAGGUUCAAUUUACCAAUGCUGCUUUCAGUAGUAAUAUUCAUUGCUUCAGUUACUUCACUAUGUUCACCACAGCAUGUUUCAAAAGGUGGCUCUGAGUUGUAUCGAGCAUCACAUGUAGGUUGAACAUAUUCCACAGUACCUAAUUCAUCUCUUACCUCAACAACAGAAGUCGAUUCCACAAUGGGCAUGUGUGUAGCUUCACUUUGGUUCUCAGUUUCAACUACUGGAUUUUGGUUGUUCAACUGACCAAAACUGCUUUCAGAGGUAAUGUUCUUUGAUUCAGUUACUUCAUCAUGUUCACUAUAGCAUGUUUCAGAUAGCGGCUCUGAGUUACAUACAGAAUCACAUGUAGGUUGAACAUAUUCCACAUUGCUUACCUCAGCUCUUACCUCGACAACAGUAACUGAUCCCACAUUGGGCACAUAUAUAGGUUCAGCAAUUCGGUUCUCACUUUCAAUCACUGGAUUUUCGAGGUUCAAUGCAUCAAUACUACUUUCACCAGCA